rnacentral:lncRNA from 1 species
UGCUACCAUUUCGCUCGUCGCUAAUAUGAGAAUCGCUUUUACUUCAAAGUUUGCCUCGACUUGGUACAACUCUCACAACCCACACCAAAAUAGUGCUUUACCCCUUCCGGAUUUUUUUUUUCAUGAUUUAGACUGCUACCAUUUCGCUUGUUGCUAAUAUGAGAAUUGCUUUUAUUUCAGAGUUCACCUCGAUUUGGUACAACUCUCACAGCCCACACCGAAAUAGUGCUUUACCCAUUCCUCGAGCAUAGACAAAACGGAUUCGGAAUUGUCUUUGCCUCCGACUCCAAGGCAAGAUUUGGUCAAAUUCUUAAACGAAAAAAGAAGGGAAAGCAACCAGGAAUGGAAAUAAAAGAGGAUAAAUAAAAGAAACGGAGGCUAGAAAUUGGGAAAAAUGGCUAUCUUAAGCAUCACCACUCUCCUCCCAUUACAACCCACUUAUCGUCUCCUCAGUUUCCCCGUCCAAACAAAGCUUAAUAAUUUCACACUCAACUUCGGCACUAACCUUCACUACAAUUAC